rnacentral:ncRNA from 1 species
AUAAUAAUUUGGUACCAUUCAGAGACAGCGUCAGAUGGGGUGUUUUACUGGGUUGAUUCACCUGUCAGAUGGUAAAAUAGGUGUUCUGAAGUGAGCUCAAGGAGGAGAGAAAUCUCCCAUGUAGCAGAACAAAAACUCACUUGAUCUUGAUUAUCUAUAUGUAUAAAGAUUGUGAAAAUAGGACCAUGAAAUUUUUCUGACCUUUGGAGUUAUCCCUGUGAAGCACAAUUCACCAG